CACCAGUGGUCACCACUAUCAUUCUUCUGCUAUUUACAGUAGCAAGAUGGAAGGAGACCGACUCAAAAAGAAAAGUAUUGCUCUGAAUGUCACCUUCAUAAACGUUUUGAUGACUGUACCGAGUUAAAAAAAGAAAAAGAAGAUCAGCAUUAAGUCUUUAGCUGUAAGAUAACGGCAUAGAAAAGAGCACGAAAGCAAAGGCGAAAGAGAAAAGAGGAAGAAGUUAAUAAAAGGACUAAAAAGGAUGCGGCGAUAGAGUAUGUUCUAAAGAAUCGGUGACACUGCUUCUGCUCCUAAGAUUUACAUAUCAAGUCUUUAAUUAAGGAAAAAAAAAAAUACACUGAUCCCAUUCAAAACAAUCAAAUAACACCAGAGAUAAGUUGUUUGUUACAUUCAUCUCUCCCCUCACUGGUUAGCUCUUUAGAUUAUUGCAGUAGUAAAGCUUUAUUCAGCUGGUUAGAGGAGGAGGGGUUAGCCCCUCUACACUGACCUUAAAACACCAUCUGAAGAAAUGAAUGUUGGUUUUCCACGAGUGCUUUUGUUUCUUUGGGACCACGUUUGCGCCCACUUUGAGAUGACAAUGCAACUUUGCAACACUGUGCUUUAGGGUUUUUUUGGGGUGGUAACAUCCAAAUUACACUCCUGCUCGUCUUUCCUGGAGAAUGGGUAUUAUAUGGUUUACCAAUAUUAUU